rnacentral:rRNA from 1 species
CAAUAGCGUAUAUUUAAGUUGUUACAGUUAAAAAGCUCGUAGUUGGAUUUCGGUUAAGAGCGACCGGUCCGCCGUUUGGUGUGCACUGGUUGGUUUUAACUUCCUGUAGAGGACGUGCUCUGGGUUUAACGACCUGGACUCGGAGUCUACGUGGUUACUUUGAAAAAAUUAGAGUGUUCAAAGCGGGCUUACGCUUGAAUAUUUCAGCAUGGAAUAACACUAUAGGACUCCUGUCCUAUUUCGUUGGUCUCGGGACGGGAGUAAUGAUUAAGAGGAACAGUUGGGGGCAUUCGUAUUUCAUUGUCAGAGGUGAAAUUCUUGGAUUUAUGAAAGACGAACUUCUGCGAAAGCAUUUGCCAAGGAUGUUUUCAUUAA